GAAAGUAUACUGUUGCACAAGGGGGACACUGCUACAUGUAGCUACAUGCUAACGUCAGGGAAACCUGUAAUCUUUGUUGGAACAGGUCCAGUUGUGUUUAGAAGCUUUUAUGGCUUAUUUUUAAUGGGAGAAAGUCCCUCUGUACUCCCUGUCAGUUAUUCCCAAGCUGUGAGUACACUGCUACAUGUAGCUACAUGCUAACUUCAGGGAAACCUGUAAUCUUGGUUGGUAAAAUUAUUAAUUUCUUCACAAUUUUUGAAUCAUUUUCCUAGGGUAAUAUGCCUGGGUGUAAAGAUUUUGGUUCUUGUCACUACUGGUAGCAUGAGGCGGCACCUGCAGCCCAGUCAGGUUGCACAGGUAGUCCAGCUCCUCCAGGACGGCACAUCCAUAUGUGCGGUCGCAAGAAGGUUUGCUGUGUCACCCAGCACAGUCUCAAGAGCAUGGAGGAGAUAACAGGAGUACAGGUGUUAAAUGAGGAGAGCUGGACAGGGCCGUAGAAGGGCCCUACAAAAUGACCUCCAGCAGGGUACUGGUGUGCAUGUUUCUGACGAAACUGUCAGAAACAGACUCCAUGAGCGUGGCAUGAGGACCCGACGGCCUCUAGUGGGACCUGUGCUCACAGCCCAGCACCGUGCAGCUUGACUGGCAUCCACCAGAGAAUACCAUGACUGGCAGGUAUGAUUUGUUGCGUUGUAAGAUUUAAGUGUUCUCUUAAUUUUUUGAGCAGGGUAUUUUUUUAUUUUGAGCGUGUAAACAUAUUUGAGUAGAAAUCCAAAAUACAAGUAUGAACCUGGAAAAUGAAUGUACAUUGCUACUUUCCACAUCUGUUGAAAACAAGCCAUCUGUGGCUGCAGAAAAGAGUCAGAGCAACAAAGAUGGAGAAAUGUGUCCUGCUAAUGUGUUUCUCUGAGAACAAGCAGGACGUUCCCAGCCUCUCCCACUAAAGCUUCAUUAAAGCUUUAUUGUUCCAUACAGCACCACAUAAUGCAGUCACACUUACAGUAUGACAGGUACAGUAUAAUGCUCUGCUGUUCACCGGUGAAGUGACAGGUGCAGCAGUAAUGUGCUGCUGCAGAGUGUUUCAGAGCCAGAAGUGCAGCAGCAACAGCAGGACCAUUGUUGAGUUAACAUUAAUGCUCACUGUUGGAGAGUCAAACGUCUCAAAGGGCUGAGAGCUGUGUAUCACCUCUGAUGGAGUUCACUGUAGUAGGAUAAGACCUUUUGAUACAAUAUACAAUAGUCAUCAAAUUAGCAGUUUGACGUCUACGUCAUGUGACUGACGUCCACACCUCUGCUCUUGGCAAUCUACAGACCUGUUACAUCUCUAUAUGUUUAUCUUAUUAACGUGAACAUAUGUGAAAUUGAUCACAAACCAUCACACGAGUGCAGUUUUCUGAAAAGUACUUCUUUUAUUAAUAUUUUACAAUCCUUUAUUCACGGUUAUGUCAUUAUUUUAUUUUCUUUGUCAGCGCCACUUUGCAAGUGUCAUUACUCCAUGCUGUCUGACGACAACAACAACAAAACAAAAAAAAACAAACAAAAAACAAAGGAGAGGUUUGAAGAAUGAGAGUCUAUACAACACUUUUUCCAAGGGGCAGAGAGAGAUUCACAUUUCAGCUCUCGGAUUGACCUCUCAUCCCUUCCGCUUGUUAAAAAAAAAAAAGUAAACACAAAGGUUAAAAGCAGGACUGUCAGUCAGUCAAGUGAAUAAGUGUAGAGUUGUCCGUCUGUCUGUCUGUCUGGCUAUAAAAACACCCCACACUCCUCUUGAGAAGUUAUUGAUCUUUAAAAAAAAAGAAAAACACAACAGGGGUCCUCACUCUCUGGGUUUUAAAAUGCUUUCCCCGUCUCUGAAAAAAUAAUCUACUACAAUUAAUCCAACAAAAUAUAAAGAUGGUCUCUCGUCCAGGUGCUCCAAACAUUGGAGGAUAAUAUUUGCAUUUCAAAAAAAGCUUUUUUUGGUGAAAUGGAAAGGGACACUGGCAGGUCAAGAGAGUGACUGAUAACAAUUAAAAUUUUGGUACGAAAUUGUCAGGGAAGAUUAAUUUAUUUGUUGUUGUGCUGUGGAGACGGAAGCUGCUGGCGGAUACAUUUCCUCGUUAAAUUGAUCUAUCAAAUACUUCCUGAGAAAUAAAGGAAAUAUCUACCAUGAAGAGAGGAGGAGGGAGCUGGCCCACGGAGAGAGGAAGAGGGAAAAACUCAAAGUGUUUGGGGUGAUAAAAAUAACAAAAUACAGAAAAAAUAUGCUGCUAUGUGUUGGCAGCAGAGUUCAGGAUGUGGAAAAAAGCUAACACCAUGACUUGUUGGUAGUGAGAACUGGGCAGUGUGUGUGUUUAUUGUGUGCCCAGUCAGUGUGUAAACAUGAAGCAGAGAGCUGGAGGACAGAGGAGAUGUGGGCAGCAGUGCUGGUGUUGCUCAGUUUGUGCUCUUCAGCACAGAGAGAAGAGGAGGGAGGGAGGGAGGCUGGUGGGAGACUAACAGGACUAACUGUCCAUCCAGCUGCUGGUAGCAUCCAACACCCACGCACACAAAAUAAUCACCAAAAAAUACUGACGGUAACGUUUUCCUACAUACUGCUAGUUGUAUGUAAUCAUGCAGGUAAUUCUGCUUUUAUUCGUCCAGGUUUGAGAUACAAACAGUGUUGGCAUGUCAGCAGCAGCAUGAUGGGAUUUAUCUGCUCUUUACCGACUGAUUAGCAAAUGUUAAAGGGGUAGUCUGGAUUUUUUUAAGUGGGGUUGUAUGAGGUACAUAUCCAUAGUCAGUGUACCACAUACAGUUAAAGGUGGUCAGAACGCCCCCAGUUUGGAGAAACAGGCAGGAAUGCUGACACAGAAGCUAAGCAAUGUACUGCUGCGGAUGGGGGCCAGCAGCAAAACAUAUUUUAGCCACCUAAAAAAAAAAAAAAAUCCCAGCUAAAACAAUCAAUGUCAAAGUGUACGCAACACUGAGAAUACUUUCACCGCUUUACCUUUCUGUCAGACAGCCGGUUACGACGAGGAAGCCAGUAACGGCUUUAGCUCCCCGUCUUUUCUUUCUUCAAAGCCAGACUCUAUUGACAAAAACAGUAAUUUUACUGUGUGAACACGGGAGCUGCUGGUCUACCACUGCCUCAAUCUGUUUGUUAGUUUGUGAUAUUGUGUGACAUUGGUGCAUCCGAAUUAACUCUUUUAAAUGCCAAAGUCACACAAUAACACAAACAAGAUAACAGAUUGAGGCAGCGGUAGACCAGCAGCUCCUGUGUUCAGCAAUGUUAAAUCACUGUUUUUCUCAAUGGAGUCUGGCUAUGAAAAGAGAGUAAUGUAACGGCUUCAUCCCGUUGGAAAUCACUGUCUCACAGAAGGGUCAAGGAGUGAAAAUAUUCUAAAUAUAGCAUACAUUUAAUAACAUAAGAACAGAUAUUGACUUAUUUUAGGUGGCUAAAAUAUAUUUUGUUGCUACCUCAUGUCCACAGCAGUACAUUGCUUAGCUUCCAUGUUGGUACUCCAGCCUGCUUCUCCAAACUGGGGACACGCCAACUGACACUUAAUGUAUGUGGUACACUGACUAUGGAUAAGUACCUCAUACAACAGUUAUAGAAACAGUUCAGUCAUUUUGGGAAAUGCCUUCAUUUGCUUUCUUGCCAAGAGUGAUGAGAAGAUCGAUAUCACUCUCAGACAUGAGAGAGGUUUCAAUCUACUCAUCUAUCUCGCUUGGCAAGAAAGAGAGGACAGACUUCCUCAAGAUGACCUCCACUGUGUUGCAGACGAGGGAGAAUCUCAUAAAUACCCCAAAACAUGGGCUAAUCAGUUUGUGUAUGACGACAUACCACUGGAGAAAAAUGUGUUAUAUGUUCAUUUUUUAUGUAAUCUGGGUGAACUGACCCUUUAAUUUAAAGCCCUAAACACUUGUGAAAGCUUGAGGACCAAACGCAGAGCUUAAAAUAAAAUUCUGACAUACAUCCUAAUUUUCUAAGUGUGAUCUCUUUCUUCUAAAAGUGCUGUGACAUAACACUGCCCACCAGGUAAAAGACAGUUACUACCAACACCUCUCAGGCUGUGUUGUCACACUCCUCCACCGUGGCUCGAUGGGAGGAGGCAGGGCGGGAUAUUUUUACACUGCAGCAACUGGAGGAUUCACAAUAUGAACUAGCCACUUUUACCACUCCACCUCUGAAAGAUUAAGAGUUAGAGAGGCCUGUGGUGCCACCUACGACCAACAUUUACCCACAUUUGGCUGGUGGUGGUGUUUAUUUUCGACCCUGGUGAGCAGACGGAUGUGUCUGUGUUACGUCUAAAGGCAGUCGGGUUGAGUCGAGGCAAGGCAACUGCACACCAGAGGCAGGUUUGCUGGUUCAAGGGUCAGUUGUGAUUCAUUAGUGUUGAAGCGAUGAAGCUCAACAAGCUCUCGUUGUGGCAGCGCCAGGAGGGCAGGAGAGCAACAUUAUUUAGGUACCGCAGAAGUGUAAUGCAUUCACUUUUCUGAAUUAACAAGAUUAAUAAUGUCAGAAUACUGAGAAAAGUUUUUAUAGGGAAAAAAAAUUGCCCUUUUUUUUCCAGAAUUAAUGAGAUCUUGAUGUUUUCUAAUUUAUACUUCAACAAAAAAGCUUGUGCAGAGCCACAGAGAUGGUGUGCGCAGCCUGCAGAGAGCUGCAGAGAUGCGCCACACAAAAUGUGACUACACGUCAGGUACUGCAGACGUCACAGAAGUUUGAUUGGACGUCAGAGCUCCAAACAGUUCUGGUCCCAUCACGCAUGUGUGAAACCACGUUACGCAACUUGUCGCUGUACCACGUAUGCCUGGGGUGCACAAGAGGAGUCUGCACUAGGCUGCACAGCAUGCAUAGGUGCACAGCUGCAGGAGUAUAAAUCAAGCAUCAAAAUGCUGCUUGUUUUUUUUUUUUCUCUAAAAUGAGAAUCUCAAAAAUGCUUGUUUUUCUGAAUUAAAAAGAUUAUCUCAUUAAUUUAGAGAAACAGGGCAAUUUUUUCUUCUCAAAUGAACGCAUUAGACUUCUGUAAGCUUCCUUUUAUCUACCUCAACUUGACAUUUACCAGCCCACAGGGACAUCUGAGCGCAAGGUUGAUCAUGUUUUGUGACCUGAAUCGCGCAAAAAAAAAAACUCAUUCAGUUUGUGGAUGAUUUGUUUAGAGAUCAAACUUAGAAGAGAACGCUUAUAAGAACUUAACAACCCAUACCAUAAGAUGUAGACGCUUUAGGGGGUGACUGCUCAGGAGGCGGUACUGACGGUUCUCUCAGGAAGGAAGGACUGCAGCUGUGACACAGCAAACACUACAAUUAAUAAUACAGGAUAUGUUUUUAGAUGUGGAAGUUUAAGGAAGUUUAGGUUUAGGUCUGUUG